GUAGGUGGCAAGCGUUGUCCGGGAAUUAUUGGGGCGUAAAGCGCGCGCAGGCGGUUCUUUAAGUCUGAUGUGAAAGCCCACGGGCUCAACCGUGGAGGGUCAUUGGAAACUGGAGAACUUGAGUACAGAAGAGGAAAGCGGAAUUCCACGUGUAGCGGUGAAAUGCGUAGAGAUGUGGAGGAACACCAGUGGCGAAGGCGGCUUUCUGGUCUGUAACUGACGCAGAGGCGCGAAAGCGUGGGGAGCAAACAGGAUUAGAUACCCUGGUAGUCCACGCCGUAAACGAUGAGUGCUAAGUGUUAGGGGGUUUCCGCCCCUUAGUGCUGCAGCUAACGCAUUAAGCACUCCGCCUGGGGAGUACGGCCGCAAAGGCUG
rnacentral:rRNA from 1 species